AGGUCUUGACAUCUAGUGCCAUUUGUAGAGAUACAAAGUUCCCUUCGGGGACGCUAAGACAGGUGGUGCAUGGCU
rnacentral:rRNA from 1 species